AGGAGCAUAGUUUAACAGGCGAAAAUUUCGGUCUCCAAAACCGACGUUCUGAGUUCGAAUCUCAGUGCUCCUG
rfam:TNVERIFIED: Cronobacter phage S13, complete genome.